CCUUAGUAUUUUGGAUUUUUUGCGUACAUCGUGGUUUAUUUUCAUUAAAUCUAAUUGUAUUCAACAAUGGUUACAUGUUCUGUGAGUGAUUGUGGUGUUAAUAAUAGAAAUAAUCCUGAAAAUUGCACAUUUCACAGAUUCCCUCCAUAGAUACUAUAAUAAGAGGAAAGUGGUUGAGAUUAGUUGGACGCGUUGGUUGGAAUCCAAAGAAGAACUCUACCAUUUGCAGCAAUUUGACUUAAGAAUGAAUGUAAACAAACUUAAUAAUUUAGGAAACGAAACUGUAAUGAACCAGUUAAAUAAAUAAAUAUGUGGGAACAUCUCAGACACGGCCAUCCGAGGCAGAGCCUGUAAUAUGGGUCAGACAGAUGAUAUAUCUAAGAUUGUUCUGUUUAAAAGUCAAUAAAAUAAGGAGCGAUGAA